rnacentral:rRNA from 1 species
UACGGAGGGGACUAGCGUUGUUCGGAAUUACUGGGCGUAAAGCGCACGUAGGCGGAUUUGUAAGUCAGGGGUGAAAUCCCGGAGCUCAACUCCGGAACUGCCUCUGAUACAGCACGUCUUGAGUUCGAGAGAGGUGGGUGGAAUUCCUAGUGUAGAGGUGAAAUUCGUAGAUAUUAGGAAGAACACCGGUGGCGAAGGCGGCCCACUGGCUCGAUACUGACGCUGAGGUGCGAAAGCGUGGGGGGCAAACAGGG